GGUGGGGAAUAUUGGCGACAAUGGGCGACAAGCCUGAUCCAGCCAUGCCGCGUGUGUGAAGAAGGCCUUCGGGUUGUAAAGCACUUUCAGCUGGGAGGAAGGGCAGUAGGUUAAUACCCUGGUGUUUUGACGUUACCCGCAGAAUAAGCACCGGCUAACUCCGUGCCAGCAGCCGCGGUAAUACGGAGGGUGCAAGCGUU
rnacentral:rRNA from 1 species